rnacentral:lncRNA from 1 species
UAUUGUAAGGAAUGUAUUUGAAGGUCACGUACCUGGGGAAGUAAACUUUGAUGUAUGUAAAUUAAGUUCGAAUUAUAUUAUUAUUUAGUAUUAUUCAGCUUAAAGAAAUGGUAUCGUGGAGAACCGAGUUCGGGUUUCAAGUACCUGGAUUUGGGGUCGCCACAAUGAUCGAGUGUCGGUUAAUAACGUAAGAACGUUCAUAAGCCGUAAUGAAGUAUAGUACGUCAAACUGACUUUAUUAAUGAAAUAAGUAUGAUUAAGUAUACGAAAUGAAAGAUAGUUAAUUGAUGAUGAAUUAAUUAACUUAAAGUAGCAUCUUUGAUGAUGACAAUAACAUUGAGAGUUGCAACUAAAAGUUGUUGAAUAUUAUGUAAACGUGAAGUUUUGCAAUAAGUGUACUUAAUCAAUGACGAUCGAAUUUCGAUUAAUAACGUAAGAACGUUAGUAAGCCGUGAGGAAAGGUGAUUAACUCGAAUGAGUGGUAUUAAUAAAUUAAAUGCACUUACAACAUAGAAGAGAAAGAAGUUGGUAAGAACGAUGUAAACGGCAAGUCGGAACCAAUAAUAAACAAUCUAAUACAUGAUUAGAUUGAGAAGAAGGGUAAGAUUCAUUAGGAAUCAUGUAUGUUCAUUUAUGACCUAAUACGGUAUGUUAUGUGGUUAUGUGUUAUAGAGAUCGUAAAG